rnacentral:rRNA from 1 species
UAGCAGCAUCCCAAGUGGUGGCCAGUAUUAUUGGGCUUAAAGCGUUCGUAGCCGGACUUGUAAGUCCGCUGUGAAAUCCACGCGCUUAACGUGUGGGCGUGCAGCGGAUACUGCAGGUCUAGGGACCGGAUGGCGUCAGGGCUAUUCUCAGGGUAGGAGUGAAAUCCUAAAAUCCUGAGAGGAGCACCUGUGGCGAAAGCGCCUGACGAAUACGGAUCCGACGGUGAGGAACGAAAGCCGGGGGAGCAAAGCGG